CAGCACGCUUCCGCUGCGCCACUCUGCUUGAGUGGCAGAGUGCUCAAGCAGAGUGGUGCAGCGGAAGCAUGCUGGG
rnacentral:miRNA from 1 species